rnacentral:rRNA from 1 species
AGCGAACGCUGGCGGCAGGCCUAACACAUGCAAGUCGAACGAGGUCUUCGGACCUAGUGGCGGACGGGUGAGUAACACGUGGGAACGUGCCCUUUGGUACGGAAUAACUCAGGGAAACUUGAGCUAAUACCGUAUGUGCCCUUCGGGGGAAAGAUUUAUCGCCAUUGGAGCGGCCCGCGUCUGAUUAGCUAGUUGGUAGUGUAAUGGACUACCAAGGCUACGAUCAGUAGCUGGUCUGAGAGGAUGAUCAGCCACAUUGGGACUGAGACACGGCCCAAACUCCUACGGGAGGCAGCAGUGGGGAAUCUUGCGCAAUGGGCGAAAGCCUGACGCAGCCAUGCCGCGUGAAUGAUGAAGGUCUUAGGAUUGUAAAAUUCUUUCACCGGGGACGAUAAUGACGGUACCCGGAGAAGAAGCCCCGGCUAACUUCGUGCCAGCAGCCGCCGUAACAC